CCAGGAUGUAGCUUAAUUGAAACAUUGCCCUUGUUUGAUGCAAUCACUGCAUUUCAAACUGUUGAUUUUACAGCUCCACUAUUUUGCAGUCACCGAAGGGCAGUGAACUACUUUAUAGAAACCAUAGAAAACAUUUGUUCGAUAAUUGGCAAUCAAGCCAGUAGCGCGACUGCCUGGGUGCUCAGAGGGGGAUCGCCAUUAAACCUCCUUUGUCUCGGUUACAACAUAACCUCAAGCCCCAAAGGAAAUUACUAUUUCCGCACCAACGCAGAGUCUCCUUACGGUAAAGGUACAGACGGAACCAGACCAUUUUAAAUUGUCUUAUAA